AUGUGCUACCUCUGCAAGGAUACUGGACACCCAGCGGCCCUGUGCCCGGACCGUCCGCUGAUUGAUGAGCUCAUGAUGUAUGGCCAUGGCAUCGAGGGCCUCGGGUUCUUUCACAUCGAGGUGGAGGAUUUACCACCCCCCUCCCCGUCGCUCCAGGCGAUCGUCACCGUGGUGGGGGUGGGUGUUGCUUCCCCGGAGAUGAUCGAGGCUGAGCUCAACCACAUGUGCCGGCGUGUGUGGGACUGGCAGGUGACUCCGACCUCUGCCAGUUCUUUCACCGCGGUCUUUCCGAACGCCAUCAGCUUGGGCCUCUGCACUCGCAGCGACGACAUCACCUUGGCCCUGACCAAGCUUGUGGUCAACAUCUCUCAGCCUAAGGUCGACCCCAAGGCGGUCGCGGUCUUGGAUACUGCUUGGAUCCUCAUCGCCGGGCUACCUGACGUCCCCGGUCCGAGCGGGUCAUUCGCAGUAUGUCUAAGAUCCUUGGCAAGGUGGUGGUGGUGGACGAGCUCUCCCUCCGCAAAGAGGAGGAGGUCCGGGUCAAGGUCAAGUGCCUUGACUCCGACAAGCUUCGUGUCACCGUUCACGUCUUCUUCAACGACCUGGGAUUCAACCUCAAGAUCUCCUCCGAGCCUCCGCGAGCUUGAGCGGACUGGUGCCAGAUUUACCUGGUCUAACCGCCAAGCCGACCUGACGCGGUCCGUCCUGGACCACGUCCUAGUAUCCCCGGAAUGGGAACUUAGAUGCCCCUUGGCUUCGCUCCGUGCGAUUACCCGGAUUGGGUCGGACCACGUCCCUCUCCUCCUCUCCACCGCCGACGAACGCCCUCCCACCCCGCCUUGCUUUAGGUUCGAGCUCUUCUGGCUCAACCAAGUGGGCUUCAGGGAGGCGGUCGCGGCCAAGUGGACCUCUGCGCGCUCCUCCCCCCACCGGUCCAUGUCGGCUGUGGACUCUUGGCAGUUUUGUGCCAAGCUCGCCCGCCAAUUUAUGAAGGGGUGGGGUGCUAACCUUGACAGGGACCUUCGCGAACGCAAAAAAGUCCUACUAUCUGCCAUCCAGGCCUUAGACUACCGCGCGGACACUUCCGGGAUCUUCCCGGAUGAGUGGAUGUUGCGAUAUGAUCUUGAGGAUCAGCUCACCACCAUCUAUACGGAUGAAGAAGCAUACUGGAGGCUCCGCGAUGGCUUCUACAAAGCCCUAUUCUCCCCCACCCUUCAGGGUGGGGUCGCUUUAACAACCAACAUCUGGUCGGGCACCCAACUUGUGUUUGAUGCGGACAAUGCCGCCUUAGUUGCCCCGUUCUCCGAGGAGGAGGUCCUCGCGGCGAUUAAGGGCAUGAACGCCUCCUCGGCGGCGGGGCCGGAUGGACUGCCAGUCUCCUUUUUUAAAGCAUUCUGGCAGACCAUCAAACCUGAGGUCAUGGCUCUCUUCGACGAGUUUUUCUUGGGGACCAUGGAUCUUGGGCGCCUGAACUAUGGGGUCAUCACUCUUAUCCCCAAAGUUCCGGGCGCGACGGACAUCCGCCAAUUCCAACCUAUCACUAUGAUCAAUGUGAUAUUCCGGAUCCUGGCCAAAGGGUACGCCAAUAGGGUGACCCUGCUAACCAACUCGAUCACUCACCCCAAUCAGUCGGCUUUCAUUCAGGGUCGUUUUAUCCUGGAUGGGGUGUUGGUCUUCCACGAGGUCCUUCACGGAGUCCGCUCCAAGCACCAACGGGCGGUCUUCCUGAAGCUCGACUUCCAUAAAGCCUAUGACACUGUUCACUGGCCCUUCCUUCGGGAAGUAUUACUCCGCAAGGGCUUUGAUGACCGUUGGGUGACCAGAGUUAUGCAGCUUGUCUCCUGCGGUCGGACCGCUAUUAACAUUAAUGGUGAGAUUGGCCCCUUCUUCCCCAUGCUAUGUGGGGUUCGCCAAGGCGACCCUUCCUCGCCGUUCCUGUUUAACAUGGUGGUUGACGCCCUUGCAGCCAUUCUUGACAAGGCCAAAUCGGCCGGUCACAUUCACGGCGUGGUCCCACACCUAGUAGGAGGGGGUGGGAUCUCCCUCCUCCAAUAUGCCGACGACACCAUAAUAAUGGUUGAGGGCUCCGCGUCCGAUAUUGCCAACCUAAAGUUUCUCCUCCUAUGCUUCCAACAGAUGUCCGGUCUUACCAUCAAUUUCGAUAAGAGCGAAGUGAUGGUUCUGGGAUUCCCCCCGGAGGAGGCCCAGGGCAUUGCGGACCGGCUUAAUUGCCGCCUGGGUGCUUUCCCCACGACUUAUCUGGGGAUCCCCAUUAGUGACUCGCGCCUCACCGUAGCGGACCUCCGCCCUUCCGUGACCCGAAUGCAACACCGGGUCGAGCCCUGGAAGGGCCGAUGGCUCUCGAAGGCGGCGAGGGUAAUCCUCAUCAACUCCUCGCUGGCUAGCCUCCUCUGGUUCCUCAUGAGCUUCUAUAGCCUCCAUGAGACGCUCCACCAGGAGGUGGCCAAAUAUCAGUCCAGGUUCUUCUGGGCUGGCGAGGGGGACAAGCAAAAAUACCAUAUGGACAUCGCUCUCUUGCCGAUGGAUGUAGAGGGCGCCGCUGACUCCAUGACGUGGCGCCUGGAGCCCACGAAGUCUCUGUACGUUGCCAUCGGCCCCUCGCUGGCCCCUGAGCCCUUUAGCCUGAUCUGGGACAUUCGCCUCCCCCUCAAGAUCAGGAUAUUCCUCUGGCAGUGGAUCCGGGGACGUCUCCCCUCUGGGGUUGAAGUCCGCAAGCGCAAUGGCCCUGGGGAUGGGAUGUGUCCCCUGUGCGCCACGGUUGAGGAUUCGAACCACAUUUUCUUCAACUGCUCCACUGCCCAGUUCCUGUGGUCGUGCUUCCGUGAAACGGUCGGCGGACAAUGGUGCAAUACCAACUUCCCCGACUUAUUCGCGGAGAUCCAUGCCUCCUCCCCGCGUUACCGCCAUAUUAGAUGGCUGUGCAUUGGGAUCCUAGCGUGGACGCUUUGGAAUAUUCGCAACAAGCUUGUUAUUCAGAAAGUGCCUCUGCGCCGUGCGACUGACGCGAUCUUCAGAAUGUGUGGCUAUUUGCAGCUCUGGCGGCCGCUUAGCCGCCCCCAGGACCGGAUCGUCAUCAACACCCUCCUCACCGACCUUCGAUCGAUGGCCUUCCGCAUGGCGCCCCCGCUUCCGCCACCGCCGCCGGAGCCUGAUUAG
rnacentral:rRNA from 1 species